rnacentral:rRNA from 1 species
UGGCGGACGGGUGAGUAAUGUCUGGGAAACUGCCUGAUGGAGGGGGAUAACUACUGGAAACGGUAGCUAAUACCGCAUAACGUCGCAAGACCAAAGAGGGGGACCUUCGGGCCUCUUGCCAUCGGAUGUGCCCAGAUGGGAUUAGCUAGUAGGUGGGGUAACGGCUCACCUAGGCGACGAUCCCUAGCUGGUCUGAGAGGAUGACCGGCCACACUGGAACUGAGACACGGUCCAG